rnacentral:rRNA from 1 species
UACGUAGGUGGCAAGCGUUGUCCGGAAUUAUUGGGCGUAAAGCGCGCGCAGGCGGUCCUUUAAGUCUGAUGUGAAAGCCCACGGCUCAACCGUGGAGGGUCAUUGGAAACUGGGGGACUUGAGUGCAGGAGAGAAGAGUGGAAUUCCACGUGUAGCCGUGAAAUGCGUAGAGAUGGGGGAGAACACUCGUGGCGAAGGCGGCCAGCUAGACCAGUUCUGACACUGAGACGCGAAAGCGUGGGGAGCAAACAGG